rnacentral:rRNA from 1 species
UAACACCGAUAUGCUUCGGGGAGCGGUAAGUACGCUUUGAUCCGGAGAUUUCCGAAUGGGGAAACCCAAUCAUCUUAGUCGAUGAUUACUUGAGCAGUGAAUUCAUAGCUGCCAAGAGGUAGACGCAGUGAACUGAAACAUCUUAGUAGCUGUAGGAAGAGAAAGAAAAUUCGAUUCCCUGAGUAGCGGCGAGCGAAACGGGAAGAGCCCAAACCACUGAGCUUGCUCAGUGGGGUUGUAGGACUGAACUUUGGAGUUACCAAAGAAUCAGGUAGUCGAAGUGGCUGGGAAGCCACACCAGAGAUGGUGAUAGUCCAGUAGACGAAACCUGGUUCUCUCCGUUCAGGAUCCUGAGUACGGCGGGACACGUGAAACCCCGUCGGAAUCCGCGAGGACCAUCUCGCAAGGCUAAAUACUCCCUAGUGACCGAUAGUGAACCAGUACCGUGAGGGAAAGGUGAAAAGCACCCCGGGAGGGGAGUGAAAUAGUUCCUGAAACCAUGUGCCUACAAGCUGUCGGAGCCCGUUAAUGGGUGACGGCGUGCCUCUUGCAGAAUGAACCGGCGAGUCAUGAUUACGUGCAAGGUUAAGGUGGAAAAACCGGAGCCGCAGCGAAAGCGAGUCUGAAAUGGGCGUACGAAGUACGUAGUUAUGUACCCGAAACCAGGUGACCUACCCAUGUCCAGGGUGAAGGUGCGGUAAAACGCACUGGAGGCCCGAACCCGUGUCUGUUGAAAAAGGCUGGGAUGAGGUGUGGGUAGCGGUGAAAUUCCAAACGAACUUGGAGAUAGCUGGUUCUCUCCGAAAUCUCUUUAGGGGGAGCCUCGGAAUCGAGAAUCUUGGAGGUAGAGCACUGUUUGGACGAGGGGCCCGUCAUGGGUUACCGACUUCAGAUAAACUCCGAAUGCCAAUGAUUUAUGUCCGGGAGUCAGACGAUGAGUGAUAAGAUCCACCGUCGAAAGGGGAACAGCCCAGAUCACCAGUUAAGGUCCCUAAAUAUAUGCUAAGUGGAAAAGGAUGUGGAGUUGCAUAGACAACUAGGAUGUUGGCUCAGAAGCAGCCAUCAUUUAAAGAGUGCGUAAUAGCUCACUAGUCGAGUGAUUCUGCGCCGAAAAUGUACCGGGGCUAAGCAUAUUACCGAAACUGUGGAUGUGUCCUUUUGGACACGUGAUAGGAGAGCGUUCUAAGGGCGACGAAGUUAGACCGUGAGGACUAGUGGAGCGCUUAGAAGUGAGAAUGCCGGUAUGAGUAGCGAAAGACAGGUGAGAAUCCUGUCCACCGAAUGACUAAGGUUUCCUGGGGAAGGCUCGUCCUCCCAGGGUAAGUCGGGACCUAAGGCGAGGCCGAGAGGCGUAGUCGAUGGAUAACAGGUUGAGAUUCCUGUACCAGUUAAAUGCGUUUGAAUGAUGGAGGGACGCAGGAGGCUAAGCAAACCAGACGAUUGGAAGUGUCUGGCCAAGCAGUAAGUCAGGUUUAGAGUCAAAUGCUUUAAGCCGGGUUG